rnacentral:ncRNA from 1 species
GUGUUGUAUGAAAGGAGAGAAGUUUAGCACUCCCCUAGACAAGGAUGGAACACAUAUACUCGUAAGGCACUCGCCGUGCUUUUGCACGGUUCUUACGACAUUUUUUUU